rnacentral:rRNA from 1 species
CAAUAGCGUAUAUUAAAGUUGUUGCAGUUAGAAAGCUCGUAGUUGAACUUCAGACCUGGCCGGGCGGUCCGCCGCAAGGUGUGUACUGUCUGGCUGGGCCUUACCUCUUGGUGAGCCGGCAUGCCCUUUACUGGGUGUGUCGGGGAACCAGGACUUUUACCUUGAGAAAAUUAGAGUGUUCAAAGCAGGCCUAUGCCUGAAUACGUUAGCAUGGAAUAAUAAAAUAGGACGUGCGGUUCUAUUUUGUUGGUUUCUAGAGUCGCCGUAAUGAUUAAUAGGGAUAGUUGGGGGCAUUCGUAUUCCGUUGCUAGAGGUGAAAUUCUUGGAUUUACGGAAGACGAACUUCUGCGAAAGCAUUUGCCAAGGAUGUUUUCAUUAA